UAGACGAAGUGCACAGCAAUAGGUUGUGGCUUAAACUGUUCAAUUAUUCAUCAGAGUAGAUAAUUGAGUGCACAAUAUUAUACUUCUACACUUCAUCAUCUAUAAGUGCUUCGUUGCCGUGACAUGUCAUUCUUACUGCCUACAACCAUGCCAAGGUUGCGUUACUGGAGACGGCGAACGAAACUCGCGGUGGCGCUGGUCGCGGCUCUUCUGCUGGUGGUGGCCAUUUCCGACCACACAGGUUUUACCGGUGCUCUGUUCAGCCGGUUAACGUCUCCAGUUGUUACAGACGGCGGAGUAAA
rnacentral:lncRNA from 1 species